rnacentral:rRNA from 1 species
ACAGGUUAUUAAGAGCCUAUGGUGGAUGCCUUGACACAAAGAGGCGAUGAAGGACGCGGCGUGGCUGCGAUAAGCCUCGGGGAGGUGCUUAGCAACCUUUGAUCCGGGGAUUUCCGAAUGGGGCAACCCGUCUCGCAAUUCAAUGCGGGACAUCUUUCGAGUAACGUCGGAAGAAGCGAACCCGGGGAAGUGAAACAUCUCAGUACCCGGAGGAAAAGAAAAAACAUCAGCUUUUAGCUUUUAGCUCAUAGCUUUCGGGGUUUUCCCCGUCGGCUAAUGGCUAUAAGCUAUAAGCUGAAUUAUUCCCUUAGUAGCGGCGAGCGAAAAGGGAAGAGCCUAAACCCGUUGCGUGACGCGCAAGCGAAGCGCGGCGGGGGUUGCAAGGCAAUGACGUUUGAGGUUUAAGUCGCAAGAUUUAAUUUUCAAGAGAGUUAAAAAAUAAAACGGUUAAUUGAACGUCCCUGGAAAGGGCGACCAAAGAGGGUAAUAGUCCCGUAAAUGAAAAUUGUUUUGUCUCUCAGUCAUUGUUCUUAAGUACCGCGGGGAACGACAGCCCCGUGGGAAGCCGGGAUGACUAUAAUCCCAAGGCUAAAUACUCUUUGUGAUCGAUAGUGAACUAGUACCGUGAGGGAAAGGUUAAAAGAACCCCGGUGAGGGGAGUGAAAUAGAACCUGAAACCAUAAGGCUUACAAAGAGUCGGAGUCCCUCCGCCCGCAAGGGCGUUUGGGAUGACGGCGUGCUUUUUGCAGAACGAGCCAACGAGUGUAUGUGCGUUGCGUGCUUAAGUCGCUUAAAAAACGACGAAAGCAAAGGGAAACCGAGUCUUAAAUGGGCGAUUUGUAGCGCAUAUACGACCCGAAGCCAAGCGAGCUACCCCUGGCCAGGAUGAAUCACGGGUAAUACUGUGAGGAGGUCCGAACCGGUGAGUCGUGCAACGCUCUCGGAUGAGCUGGGGGUUGUAGUGAAAAGCUAAUCGAGCUUGGUAAUAGCUGGUUCUCUCCGAAAUAGCUUUAGGGCUAGCCUCUGAGUUCCCGUUUUUGGAGGUAGAGCACUGGAUGGAUUGAGAUGCGAAAGCUACUUAGUCCAAUCAAACUCCGAAUUCCGAAAACAAAUGCUCAGGGAGUAAGUCUAAGGGGGCGAAGCUCCUUAGACAAAAGGGAAAAAGCCCAGACCAUCAUCUAAGGUCCCUAAAUUCGAGCUAAGUGUAAAGGAAGUGGCCCGCCAGAGACAGGUAGGAGGUUGGCUUAGAGGUAGCCAUCCUUUAAAGAGUGUGUAACAACUCACUACCAUAUGGCGGACUGCGCCAAAGAUGUAUAGGGGCUAAGCUCGGUACCGAAGAUAUGGAUGUAUUUCGCGCAAGCGAAGUACGUGGUAGGAGAGCGUUCUUUAUGCAGUGAAGCAGAACCGGAAGGUUCUGUGGAGCGUAAAGAAGUGAGAAUGUUGGCAUGAGUAACCGCAAGUCCGGUGAAAAACCGGACCACCGAUAACCUAAGGUUUCCUUGGCAAUGUAAAUCAGCCAAGGGUUAGGCGGGCCUAAGGCGAUGCCGAAAGGCGAAGCUGACGGACAGCCGGUUAAUAUUCCGGCCCCGCCUUCAAUCUAUCCCGCAGCAAUGCGGGAUAAAAUGGGGUGACGUAAUUUGAAGGUUGAGGCGCGUUAUUGGAUUCGCGUUCUUGGUUUUUGAUGGAUUUUCCAGGCAAAUCCGGAAAGUCGUUAACAUCGGAGAUUGAGAAAAUUUUUGAGCAAUCAAGAAAAUUUCAGCCAACCAGUUACCUAGAAAACCCUCGUUAUUCCGGUGUUUUUGCUUUUUCGGAGCAAUCCGUAUUGGCGAAUGCCGGUGAUUGGAGGCGACCGUACCACAAUCCGACACAGGUAGGUUGGGCGAGAAGCCCGAGGUGAACGGGUGAUUCCUCGUUAAGGAACUCGGCAAAAAAGCUAGACGUAAGUUCGCAAUAUGUCUUCCCCGCUUAGGCGGGGCGCAGCUAAAGUACCCCUAGCGACUGUUUAUCAAAAACACAGCUCCCUGCUAACUCGCAAGAGGAUGUAUAGGGGGUGACGCCUGUCCAGUGCUGGAAGGUUAACGGUAGAUGUCUCUUUGUAUUUGAGAUUAUAUCAAUGACGCGGAGAGGCUGAUGCCCGAAGCCCCAGUGAACGACAGCGAUAACUAUAAUCGUUCUAAGGUACCGAAAUCCCUUGGCAUGUAAGUUAUGUCCCGCAGGAAUGGCGCAACGACUGGGGGACUGUCUCAACGAGGAGCCCGGUGAAAAUGCAGUGGUGGUGAAGAUGCCCCCUACCUGCGGCAAGACGAAAAGACCCCGGAAGCUUUACUGCAACUUGAUAUUGGCUUAAGGUUCUGGAUGCGUAGAAUAGGUGGGAGGCUUUGAAGUUCGCCUUUCGGGGCGGAUGGAGCCGUCAGUGAAAUACCACUCUUUCAGGACUUUAAAUCUAACCCCGAUGAUGAAAACGCCGGGGGACAGUGUCUGGCGGGCAGUUUUGGUGGGGCGCUAUCCUCCUAAAAUGUAACGGAGGAGUUUAUUAAGGUCGGCUAACUCCGGAUGGAAAUCGGAGUGAUAGGGUAAAGCCAUAAGCCGGCUUGACUGCAAGGCGUAUAUGCCGCGCAGCUACGAAAGUAUAACUUAGUGAACCGAUGGUUCUUUGUAGAAAGGCCAGAGAUUAUCAGACAAAAGCUACUCCGGGGAUAACAGGCUAGUCGCAUCCAAGAGUCCAUAUCGACGAUGCGGUUCGGCACCUCGAUGUCGGCUCAUCUUAUCCUGGGGCUGGAGAAGGUCCCAAGGGUUUGGCUGUUCGCCAAUUAAAAAGAUACGUGAGCUGGGUUCAAACCGUCAGAAGAACCUUUAACAUCGAUAAUCACACGGCGGCUUUCACGAGUAAUCGUGAUCGAAUAAACCGACUCAUAUCGGUGAAGUCCUAAUAUUGUAUGGUAACCUGUCAUAUGUUAGGAUAAUACCGAGGGAAGUUGUGUAUGACUAAAAAUCUUUCGCAAACACAAAAAGCUUAUCUUGCCGGUUUUCUUGAUGGUGACGGCAGUAUCUAUGUAAGAGCAAAACCAAAUCCAACGUAUCGUUAUGGAUUUCAGAUUGCUCCAU